UAUCACUCAGNUUNGCAAUCUGGCNCCUUCNGUGUCCGAGUUGUAAUUUGAAGAAGGUAUCUUUGGUUUUGGCUCUUGUCUAUGUUCCUUGGAACAGGACGUCACAGAGGGUGAGAAUCCCGUGCGAUGAGAUGCCCAAUUCCAUGUAAAGUUCCUUCGACGAGUCNAGUUGUUUGGGAAUGCAGCUCUAAGUGGGUGGUAAAUUCCAUCUAAAGCUAAAUAUUGGCGAGAGACCGAUAGCGAACAAGUACUGUGAAGGAAAGAUGAAAAGAACUUUGAAAAGAGAGUGAAAAAGUACGUGAAAUUGUUGAAAGGGAAGGGCUUGAGGUCAGACUUGGUUUUACCAGGCCAGCAUCAGUUUGGAUGGCAGGAUAAUAGCGGAGGAAAGUGGCACCAUUUCGAUGGUGUGUUAUAGCCUUUGUUGAUACUGCCUGUCUAGACUGAGGACUGCGUCUUUGACUAGGAUGCUGGCAUAAUGACCUUAAGCC
rnacentral:rRNA from 1 species